rnacentral:rRNA from 1 species
AUUGAACGCUGGCGGCAUGCCUUACACAUGCAAGUCGAACGGCAGCGGGGGAGAAGCUUGCUUUUCCUGCCGGCGAGUGGCGAACGGGUGAGUAAUACAUCGGAACGUGCCCUGUAGUGGGGGAUAACUAGUCGAAAGAUUAGCUAAUACCGCAUACGACCUGAGGGUGAAAGUGGGGGACAGCAAGGCCUCAUGUUAUAGGAGCGGCCGAUGUCUGAUUAGCUAGUUGGUGGGGUAAAGGCCUACCAAGGCGACGAUCAGUAGCUGGUCUGAGAGGACGAUCAGCCACACUGGGACUGAGACACGGCCCAGACUCCUACGGGAGGCAGCAGUGGGGAAUUUUGGACAAUGGGCGAAAGCCUGAUCCAGCAAUGCCGCGUGUGUGAAGAAGGCCUUCGGGUUGUAAAGCACUUUUGUCCGGAAAGAAAUGGCUCUGGUUAAUACCUGGGGUCGAUGACGGUACCGGAAGAAUAAGGACCGGCUAACUACGUGCCAGCCGCCGCCGUAAUAC